CACAGAGAGCUUGCUCUCGGGUGACGAGUGGCGGACGGGUGAGUAAUGUCUGGGGAUCUGCCCGAUAGAGGGGGAUAACCACUGGAAACGGUGGCUAAUACCGCAUAACGUCGCAAGACCAAAGAGGGGGACCUUCGGGCCUCUCACUAUCGGAUGAACCCAGAUGGGAUUAGCUAGUAGGCGGGGUAAUGGCCCACCUAGGCGACGAUCCCUAGCUGGUCUGAGAGGAUGACCAGCCACACUGGAACUGAGACACGGUCCAGACUCCUACGGGAGGCAGCAGUGGGGAAUAUUGCACAAUGGGCGCAAGCCUGAUGCAGCCAUGCCGCGUGUAUGAAGAAGGCCUUCGGGUUGUAAAGUACUUUCAGCGGGGAGGAAGGCGACGUGGUUAAUAACCGCGUCGAUUGACGUUACCCGCAGAAGAAGCACCGGCUAACUCCGUGCCAGCAG
rnacentral:rRNA from 1 species